CUACGGGGGGCUCCAGUGGGGAAUAUUGGGCAAUGGGCGCAAGCCUGACCCAGCAACGCCGCGUGAGGGAAGAAGGUUUUCGGAUUGUAAACCUCUGUCCUUGGGGACGAAGAAGUGACGGUACCCAAGGAGGAAGCUCCGGCUAACUACGUGCCAGCAGCCGCGGUAAUACGUAGGGAGCAAGCGUUGUCCGGAAUUACUGGGCGUAAGGGGUGCGUAGGCGGCAUAUUAAGUCAGGUGUGAAAUACUCGGGCUCAACCCGAGGGGUGCAUUUGAAACUGAUAAGCUUGAGUGUGAGAGAGGAAAGUGGAAUUCCUAGUGUAGCGGUGGAAUGCGUAGAUAUUAGGAGGAACACCAGUGGCGAAGGCGACUUUCUGGCUCAUAACUGACGCUGAGGCACGAAAGCGUGGGGAGCAAACAGGAUUAGAUACCCGUGUAGUC
rnacentral:rRNA from 1 species